rnacentral:lncRNA from 1 species
UUCCUCUUAUCCCACGUUUCCUUAUGUAAGCAUUAUUUAUAUAUAUUUUUACAUAUUUCUUGUCUCGAAAAUUUCUCUUUUAAAUUUAUAAUUCUACUUCAUCUGCACAAUUCUUUCUCCUUACAAAAACCUGUUUUCUUUCGUCUUUAUUUUUGCUUGUUUUCGUUUUCUCUGAUUUUUCUCUUCAUUUAAACUUCAGUUAAUAUUGUUUUCAGGGAGUUACGGCAUUCGUUCGAUAUAGAUAUUUUGAGUAUAUCUUUGUUCUAUUUCUUUAACCAUGUUUUUUUACUCUUGUUUUUAUUCUGUAGUCCUCUCGAGGACUGAUAGACAAGAGUGUAGACUUUAAAUGUUUUACGAAAUAGCGGCUAGACCCUACUUAUUCUCAUUACGUGUGAUCUGCCUCAAGUAAACCUAAUCGGUUAAUGUUUACAUCUUCGGAUGACACUUUGUUGUACAAACACCGUAAAUAUGAACAGUGAUUCCUGUUUCCUAUAGCGAAACCCAUCAGUCUUAGAAUCUUGGACGACUUUGUGGCAGAUGCAAUUCAAUACCCCCAACGCGUUGUAAAGUUUCUUGGUUUUAUAAUACAAACUUCCUUUUAAAGUGAUCUAAAUUUAAACCUUCCAUCAAACUUUCGUUUUAAUAUAUGUUACAAACAUCAGCUUAAUACUGACAGUUAUUUUACUAAAUUCUUCAUUAUUUUAAAAAUUAAUCGAAACAGUGGCAGUGUAUUUCAAGAGACAUUUGGUAAGGAGAGUUAAUAGAAUUUUAAACAGCAUAAAUCCCAAUGAAGUAUUUGAAUAAAGAAAGUCAGGCAUUUACUAUGUAAAAGGUAACUAUGAGGAUAAUAGUAGUGAUAAUGAUUGUCUAAAUAUCUCCUUUCAAAUGACCGGCUCUUAAGUCAUGUGAUGAGAGUACUGGAAGAAGACAUUCGGACGGAACCAAAGUCUUGUAGACAAGAAUUAUAUUGUUAAAUAACAUUUUAUAUUCUUUGUUGGUCAUCAAUGUAGGUUACUAAUAUGUUGGUACUUCUUUCCUAUGUUAUCUUUGUAAUAACAUAACUACAAUAGUUUUCAAAAUUGUUGAAUGUUUGAGAAAAGAAAGGAAUUGUACUUGUGUCCUCAUCAUCAUCAUUUAACGUCCGUUUUCCAUCCUGGCAUGGGUUAGACGGUUUAACUAGAGAUGGUAAGCUAGAGAGCUGCGCCUGGUUUCAGUCUGUUUGGCUUGCUUUCAACAGCUGGAUGCCCUUUUCAGCACCAACCACUCUACAGUGCAUUGGGUGUCUUUCCUGUGUCACCAGCACAGGUGCCUAUUUACAUGUCACUGGCACUGGUCAUGACCACGAUUUCACUUCGCUUGAAGUGUGUUCUCAAGUGCAGCAAAUUGCCAGAAGCCUAUGCUACUUGUCAUUGCCUCUGUGAAACUCAACAAUCAAAGAUCAUAUUUCACCACUUCAUCCCAUGUUUUCUUGGAUCUACCUCUCCGGCAGGCUCCCUCCGCAAUUAUAGAUUGGCACUUCUUUCUCCGGCUAUCUUUGUCCAUACACCUUACACAGCUGUCUGAAAACUACAAUGGAGUUGGCAGUUGUCUUAUCUCUGGAAAUAUGUUCUGAUUCUUUUUAUUAUAAUUUUCAGUAUGUAUGAUCAAAUAUUUUUUCCAAUAAAACUCAUGUUAACACUUCAUUGUCCUUUAUGUCUUAUAUUGUCUUUUUAUUUCAGGUUAUCUGAUGGUAUUAAGGUAAAAUGUUUUCACUAAAGAUGAUCAACAUAUGAAGUUCUGAAGAUUAAAAUUAACUUCAUUAAGCUAUGUCAGCCUGUUAAUACAUUUUCCUUGGAAUUGAGAUUAUUUACUGUAAUACCAAAACCAACAACAGAUGGAAGGCUGUAGUAACAGUAUCAACAGCAUAUGCAUGACUGCAGCUCUUUUGUUACAACUACUGCUACAGUAAAAGAUUAAUUAGACUGAAGAUAUAAGGACUAAAAACUUCAUCAAGCUGCUGUCAGCCUGUUUCUGAAACUCUUAGUUGAA